AGUGGCGGACGGGUGAGUAACACGUGGGAAUCUACCAUAAGGUGGGGGAUAGCAGACCGAAAGGUCUAUUAAUACCGCAUAUGUAGGCAUCUCGACAGAGGUAAUUAUGAAAGGAGUAAUCCGCCUUUUGAUGAGCCCGCGUCCGAUUAGCUAGUUGGUAGGGUAAAAGCCUACCAAGGCGACGAUCGGUAGGUGGUCUGAGAGGAUGAUCACCCACAAUGGGACUGAGACACGGCCCAUACUCCUACGGGAGGCAGCAGUGGGGAAUUUUACGCAAUGGGGGAAACCCUGACGUAGCGACACCGCGUGAGCGAAGAAGCCCUUUGGGGUGUAAAGCUCUGUCAACAGGAACGAAAUCAAUGACGGUACCUGAGGAGGAAGCAUCGGCUAACUACGUGCCAGCAGCCGCGGUAAGACGUAGGAUGCAAGCGUUGUCCGGAUUUAUUGGGCGUAAAGAGUUCGUAGGCGGUUUGUUAAGUCUGAUGUUAAAGACCGGGGCUCAACCUCGGAAAUGCAUUGGAUACUGGCAGACUGGAGUGCAGUAGAGGCUAGUGGAAUUCCCAGUGUAGCGGUGAAAUGCGUAGAUAUUGGGAAGAACACCGGUGGCGUAGGCGACUAGCUGGGCUGUAACUGACGCUGAGGAACGAAAGCCAGGGGAGCGAAUGGGAUUAGAUACCCCAGUAGUCCUGGCCGUAAACGAUGGAUACUAGGCGUAGUG
rnacentral:rRNA from 1 species